CAGCACACUGCUGUGCUCGGAGCAGCAGAGGUCCAGCCCUGUGGGUCACCACACAGCACAGCCCCCUGCCCUCCAUCCCUGCUGGUGCCGGCCCUCGGGGCUAGAAGCACUCAGGUGCAUUAUGAGCGAGUUAUGAAACCACUGAUUGCCCAACCAAGGUUUUUAAUUAUUAUUUUCAUUCUAAGCGCUCCAUUUGCCCUUUUCACACAGGGUACCCUUGCCACGUGCAGUUUGGUCAUAGCUCCUUGGGCCAUCCCAGGGCACCUGCCUCUCCCGUUUCCCUGCCCACCUUUGCCCCUUAAUCUCUCCUCUGUUUCCGAGCUGAGCCGGGCAGGGCUGGCCCAGUCCAAGCAGACAGAAGGGCACAUCAGGCAGGAAGGUCUAUUUUAAGCAAAACAUUUGCGUCAGGCCAUGUGCUUUUUAGAGCCACAUUUUUCCUUAGGCCAUAUGCUUUUCAGAUCUGAUGUCGUCUUUGUAAUAAGAACUUCAGCUUGUUACUGUUUCUAACUUUGGUUACGGUGGUGCACCUGGACGGGGGGGGGGGCUCCACUGAUUCUGUUUUGCUGCUGAUGUGAUUCACCCGCAGCGUCCCGGCAGCAGGCAGCACUGCGGGGUGGGAGUAGCAGGCGGCCUUCGAGGAAGCAGCGACUUGCCGCAUCGCUUCUGGCGUUGCACAAGGCCUCACUCGGUGCCCGAUAAUGAGCUUAAUUUAGCUCCACACGUCCCUGCCCUCGCUUCGCUGCUGGGCGCUGCGGACUUUCCGAGAGUUCUUUCGCUGAAGGGCAGAGCAAAAAUAGCGCCGGCGCUCCGGGCACAUCCCGCGAACAGCCGGGCCGCGGGCCGAGGAGGGCCCGGGCGGCUCAGCCGGCGCUGCGAGGCACAGCGCGCCUCCGUGCGGGGGAGCAGCCGCUCCGAGGGCCGGGCAGGGAGCGCCGUGCCGCCCCGCACACUGACCCGAACUACAGCUCCCAGCGCCGCCGUCACGUGCCGCGGGUCACGUGCCCGCCCGGCCCCUUUGUUUUGAGCGGCGCUGGCAGCGGCCGGCGGCACCCGAGAGCUCCGCAUCGAGCCGAGCCAGCGGACGGUGGCACCACGGCGCGCGGAGAUCCCGGCCCAACCCCUGCUCGGCUGCGGGUGGCACCGGAGUCCGGAGGGCGAGAACAGCGGAGAGCGGCAGGAGGUGUUACACGAAGGCUCCGAAAGCCAGAAGAGCCCAAGCUCUGGAGCUUUGUGCAGGAGAGCCCUUGGUUUGUGUCAGUAAGGCAAUCUGCUGAAGCUGAGGUCCCAUUUCACUUAUGUUGAGCUCUAAUCCUAUGCCAGCGAUGCUGGGAUGUUCAGAAUUUGUCAGCCCUGACACCUGUUCUAUGCAUAGUGUACAAAUAGUGUACGGAGUACAGUUUGUAUUUAACAUGUAGCAGAUGGCGCUGCCUUGCCCUGCACAAGGUCACUUGCUGUGAGAUAUUGGGUCAGCCCUAGUAAAGAUGGAAAGCUGCACUGACUGUGUGCCCACACGAGUGUCUCGGCUGUUUAUGGUGAUGAAGCAAAGAACGUAUCAGACUGACUGCUG
ensembl:lncRNA